rnacentral:rRNA from 1 species
AUUGAACGCUGGCGGCAGGCCUAACACAUGCAAGUCGAGCGAGAGGCGGACGGGUGAGUGAUGUCUGGGAAACUGCCUGAUGGAGAGGGAUAACUACUGGAAACGGUAGCUAAUACCGCAUACCCUCAGAUAUGCCCCGAUGGGAGUAGCUCGUAGGUGGGGUAACGGCUCACCUAGGCGCCGAUCCCUAGCUGGUCUGAGAGGUUGACCAGCCACACUGGAACUGAGACACGGUCCAGACUCCUACGGGAGGCAGCAGUGGGGAAUAUUGCACAAUGGGCGCAAGCCUGAUGCAGCCAUGCCGCGUGUGGGAAGAAGGCCUUCGGGUUGUAAAGCACUUUCAGCGGGGAGGCGUUACCCGCAGAAGAAGCACCGGCUAACUCCGUGCCAGCCGCCGCGGUAAUUC